AUGCCCACCGGCGGCUCAGGGCUCGGCUGGCUCAGCCCUGCUGCCUGCAGCCCCUUGAUCUGUCCUUGGCUGCAGAGGGCGAAGCAGUGCCGACGAGACAGGAAUGAGCCAGGCUUCAUUAUCUCCCGCCGGCGCUGCGAGGUUUGUCUUGCUGGUUCAGCUCGGAAAGAACUCCCAGGCUUUCUCUGUGUAUUUGCUCCCCUGCCUGCAAGUCUUUUCCAGCUGUUUAUCCUGUGCAUGAGAGAAAUAAUGUGUAUUUUUCUUCAUUACUGUGCCUGCUACCGAAGUGACUCAUUUACAAAUUCAUCUUGGCAUCUGUUACGAUUUUUUUACCUGGGCCCCAAGGGCAAAGCUUCUUACCUGGCUGGCUUCAAAUCAUCGUGCAUAAGUGUCUUCUCUCCCCCCUCCCAGGUUUCCACAGCAGGCAGGAGCAGCUGGGAAUUGGUGGGCCCUCGUUUCCACACCAGAUCAAACAGUCGGAAGAUCUGGCAGCUGGAGAUGCCUGAAGGCAGGUGUGCCCACCUGGCCAGAGCCGGGCCCCACCUUGCGUGCCCCCAGCUCCGCAGCCCCAUGGAGCCCCUCAACUGGGGGCAGAUCCACUUGGCAUUUGGAGCCCAGCGGGAUGUGCGGAGCCUCCACAGGACAACAGAGAAUUUCAUCCCAACAAAACAGGAAGUCGUUUGCUACUAGUAUUGGUUACAAACAGACCACACAAGGACCAUGGUUCCUUCAACCUUCAGCGAGGAGAGCACGCUGGAAUGGACCGAGACGCUGGGGCUCUGAGGAUGCGCCCACAGCCUCGCGUUCAGGCGCUGUCCAGUGCCGAUUUCCCGAAGCCGGCUGGGCUUGUGGAACCAGGAGGCUUCCCUGUAAGAGAUCUCCACGGGAGAUGCUUUAUUGUCUCUCUUAGAGCCGGAUCUGCUGUGCACGCCCCACCACUCUCAAAAGCGGCCUCUUCUCUUCCUCCCUCCAUCAGGCUCUAGUCACCCAAAGGAGACCAGGGCUGGUGCUGCACGGAUACCUCUGGGGAAGCCCUGUGGUGAGAAGUGGGUGCAGUCCCACUCCUGCUCCUAGCCCUGCCCUGGUGCUCAGUACUUCUUCCCCUGCAAACUCGCAUGACAUCAUUUUCAUUGUACAAUACCAGGGAAGUUCAAAAAAAUUCCUGGAAAAUGAGAAUUAGAAGUUUAUUUUAGUGCAAGAAAUUUUUGAAGUCCAUGCAUAGCUUUUUUCAUAAUACACAUUUUUCCAUGAGCUUUUUGAAGGCCCCUUGUUUAUUAGAAACAUCUUUUGGUGAAAGCAAAUAUCCAUUUAUGAUAGAAGUGUUCGUUUUCUCUCUCUCUCGCUCUCUUUUUAAAGAUUUAUUUAUGUGAAGGUCAGAGUUAUACAGAGAGAGAAGGAGAGGCAGAGAGAGAGAGAGAGAGAGAGGUCUUCCCUCCCCUGGUUCACUCCCCAAUUGGCCGCAACGGCCAGAGCUGCGCCAAUCCAAAUCCAGGAGCCAGAAGCUUCUUCCAGGUCUCCCACGCAGGUGCAGGGGCCCAAGGACUUGACCAUCUUCCCUUGCUUUCCCAGGCCACAACAGAGAGUUGGAUCAGAAGAGGAGCCGACG
rnacentral:lncRNA from 1 species